rnacentral:rRNA from 1 species
AACGGAGUAGCAAUACUUAGUGGCAGACGGGUGAGUAACAUGUAGGUAUCUUCCCUUUGGCCUGGAAUAACACGAGGAAACUUGUGCUAAUACUGGAUAAGUCUUUACGGAGAAAGCUUUAUGCACCAUUGGAUGAGCCUGCACUUGAUUAGUUUGUUGGUGGGGUAAAGGCCUACCAAGACUGUGAUCAAUAGCUGGUUUGAGAGGAUGAUCAGCCACAUUGGGACUGAGACACGGCCCAAACUCCUACGGGAGGCAGCAGUGGGGAAUCUUGCACAAUGGAGGAAACUCUGAUGCAGCGAUGCCGCGUGAGUGAAGAAGGCCCUUGGGUUGUAAAGCUCUUUCGUCGGGGAAGAAAAUGACUGUACCCGAAUAAGAAGGUCCGGCUAACUUCGUGCCAGCAGCCGCGGUAAUACGAAGGGACCUAGCGUAGUUCGGAAUUACUGGGCUUAAAGAGUUCGUAGGUGGUUGAAAAAGUUGGUGGUGAAAUCCCAGAGCUUAACUCUGGAACUGCCAUCAAAACUUUUCAGCUAGAGUUUGAUAGAGGAAAGCAGAAUUUCUAGUGUAGAGGUGAAAUUCGUAGAUAUUAGAAAGAAUACCAAUUGCGAAGGCAGCUUUCUGGAUCAUUACUGACACUGAGGAACGAAAGCAUGGGUAGCGAAGAGGAUUA